rnacentral:lncRNA from 1 species
UUAAAUAUUAAAAAUGCCAAAAAAAUAUUUUGUUCAUUUCUUGACUUCCAAUCUUCAUCUCACUUCUGUUUUUGAUUGUUUGACCAUGAUCCUUAAUGUCAUUGGUCAACACUUGUUGAUCGGUACAUUUUAUUUCAUUCAAUGCACUUUAUUCUUUCCUUUUCCAUUUUCCAUUAUUCAUCUUCUUCUUCUUCUUUCUUCUUUUGAUCAAUGAGUUGAAGGUUGAUAAGUUAGCAUUGAUUAGGG